UACGGAGGGUGCAAGCGUUAAUCGGAAUUACUGGGCGUAAAGCGUGCGCAGGCGGCUUUGCAAGACAGAUGUGAAAUCCCCGGGCUCAACCUGGGAACUGCAUUUGUGACUGCAAGGCUAGAGUACGGUAGAGGGGGAUGGAAUUCCGCGUGUAGCAGUGAAAUGCGUAGAUAUGCGGAGGAACACCAAUGGCGAAGGCAAUCCCCUGGACCUGUACUGACGCUCAUGCACGAAAGCGUGGGGAGCAAACAGG
rnacentral:rRNA from 1 species